UGACGGUACCUGACUAAGAAGCUCCGGCUAAAUACGUGCCAGCAGCCGCGGUAAUACGUAUGGAGCAAGCGUUAUCCGGAUUUACUGGGUGUAAAGGGAGCGUAGGCGGUGAUGCAAGUCAGAAGUGAAAACCCGGGGCUCAACCCCGUGGAUUGCUUUUGAGACUGUGUUGCUGGAGUACAGGAGGGGCAGGCGGAAUUCCUGGUGUAGCGGUGAAAUGCGUAGAUAUCAGGAGGAACACCGGUGGCGAAGGCGGCCUGCUGGACUGUAACUGACGCUGAGGCUCGAAGGCGUGGGGAGCAAACAGGAUUAGAUACCCUA
rnacentral:rRNA from 1 species